UCACUAGAAUCAGUCAACAGUCGUAAGUCGGACUAAACUGUGGUUUAUUGAGGUGGAGAAAAGUCAUAUUACAUAAAUGGUGUUUUAUCAACAAGGUCAAUAUAGCAACUACUAAGUAAAGCAGAGCAACAUCAAGGUGUUGAGAUCGUAGUUUUGCGCAAUAACACUUGGACCAACUAGGAACAUGAUCACCGCAUCGUAGACUUCACUAUGGUUGCUUUCUUCGACUUUUGUAAAGCCACUUCCUCUUCUUCCUGCUGAAUACUUCGUCUUGCUCCUGCAAGAAAUUUCUCAAUCUCUUGAAGUGUUUUUCCUUCAGUCUCUGGUAGGAAAAAGACAACAAAUAUAGUACCCAGAAGAGCCAUAAUGCCGAAGAAGUA